GACGAACGCUGGCGGCGUGCUUAACACAUGCAAGUCGAACGGAAAGGCCCUGCUUGCAGGGUACUCGAGUGGCGAACGGGUGAGUAACACGUGGGUGAUCUGCCCUGCACUUCGGGAUAAGCCUGGGAAACUGGGUCUAAUACCGGAUAGGAGCCAUUUUUAGUGUGAUGGUUGGAAAGUUUUUUCGGUGUAGGAUGAGCUCGCGGCCUAUCAGCUUGUUGGUGGGGUAAUGGCCUACCAAGGCGGCGACGGGUAGCCGGCCUGAGAGGGUGGACGGCCACAUUGGGACUGAGAUACGGCCCAGACUCCUACGGGAGGCAGCAGUGGGGAAUAUUGCACAAUGGGCGCAAGCCUGAUGCAGCGACGCCGCGUGGGGGAUGACGGCCUUCGGGUUGUAAACUCCUUUCGCUAGGGACGAAGCUUUUUGUGACGGUACCUAGAUAAGAAGCACCGGCCAACUACGUG
rnacentral:rRNA from 1 species